UGUGUAUCAAGAAACAAUGACAAAAAAUUAUACCCUUUGACCCAUUUAUUUAGGUAAUGCGUUCCUGUGGGACAAAAUCCAAAAGGAAAUAUAAUCUGAAUAUCAAGUAAACAUGGC